rnacentral:lncRNA from 12 species
ACGAGAUAUGAAACAACUUUCGACCCUUCUGGCAAAUCCAUUUAUACAAAUUUCUUCCAGUCCAUUCAAGGCUACAUUGGCUUAUUCUACAACCAAGUACACUCUUCAAGGGCUUCCAGGGGAAGAAGAAAGGUACAGACAUUACCAGGCACUUAGUGAAUUUCUUGGUGAAACAGCUUACGUGGAAUAGGGGUGCACGAACAUCUCACAGAAAGGGUGUGACAUCUUCCCAAGACAGGCAGAUCCCUGUUGGAAGCACAGCCGUGUUUGCUUCCAUUGAGCCUGAUUCGCUACUGCAAACCCACCUUCCCAGACCCUGCCACAACGACUGCCAGAGCAAACCAGCAGGGUACUGCUUGGAAACCCCCAAACCACAGCUGACAUGAUCACAGCUUCCUGAUUUCCUGCCACUCAUUUUGGAGCCCGACAGCCACCAUGGCUCCACACAAAACCUGAGCAACCCUUGGCACUUC